rnacentral:misc_RNA from 1 species
AACCUUAUGGACCUGCGGGCGUAUACCUGCGGAGGGAUCAUUACACAAUACAAUAUGAAGGCUGUCCGCAGCUGGAGUAUUUUAUUACCCUUGUCUUUUGCGCACUUGUUGUUUCCUGGGCGGGUUCGCUCGCCACCAGGACCACCAAAUAAACCUUUUUUAUGCAGUUGCAAUCAGCGUCAGUACAAACAAUGUAAAUCAUUUACAACUUUCAGCAACGGAUCUCAGAUCGGAAGAGCA